GCCUCCGUAGCUCAGUUGGUAGAGCACGAUAUUCGUAAUAUCGGGGUCAGCAGUUCGAUUCUGCUCGGAGGCU
rnacentral:tRNA from 1 species